rnacentral:piRNA from 1 species
UGACAUCACAAGAUACUUCAUUAACCCCUU